rnacentral:rRNA from 1 species
UUGGGAACUGUGAUACAGGUGCUGCAUGGCUGUUGUCAGCUCGUGCGUGAGAUGUUGGUUUAACUCCCGCAACGAGCGCAACCCUUUUCCUUAUUACCAGCACUUCGGGUGGGAACUCUGGGCUCUGCCCGUGACAAACUUGGAGGAAGGCGGGGACGACGUCAAGUCAUCAUGGCCCUUACGACCAGGGCUACACACGUGCUACAAUGGUUGGUACAAAGGGUUGCUACACAGCGAUGUGAUGCUAAUCUCAAAAAGCCAAUCGUAGUCCGGAUUGGAGUCUGCAACUCGACUCCAUGAAGUCGGAAUCGCUAGUAAUCGCAGAUCAGAAUGCUGCGGUGAAUACGUUCCCGGGCCUUGUACACACCGCCCGUCACACCAUGGGAGUUGAUCUCACCAGAAGUGGUUAGCCUAACGCAAGAGGGCGAUCACCACGGUGGGGUCGAUGACUGGGGUGAAGUCGUAACAAGGUCCAAUC